rnacentral:rRNA from 2 species
GCGGGGGGGGGGGGGCCUAUACAUGCAAGUCGAGCGAACUGAUUAGAAGCUUGCUUCUAUGACGUUAGCGGCGGACGGGUGAGUAACACGUGGGCAACCUGCCUGUAAGACUGGGAUAACUUCGGGAAACCGAAGCUAAUACCGGAUAGGAUCUUCUCCUUCAUGGGAGAUGAUUGAAAGAUGGUUUCGGCUAUCACUUACAGAUGGGCCCGCGGUGCAUUAGCUAGUUGGUGAGGUAACGGCUCACCAAGGCAACGAUGCAUAGCCGACCUGAGAGGGUGAUCGGCCACACUGGGACUGAGACACGGCCCAGACUCCUACGGGAGGCAGCAGUAGGGAAUCUUCCGCAAUGGACGAAAGUCUGACGGAGCAACGCCGCGUGAGUGAUGAAGGCUUUCGGGUCGUAAAACUCUGUUGUUAGGGAAGAACAAGUACGAGAGUAACUGCUCGUACCUUGACGGUACCUAACCAGAAAGCCACGGCUAACUACGUGCCAGCAGCCGCGGUAAUACGUAGGUGGCAAGCGUUAUCCGGAAUUAUUGGGCGUAAAGCGCGCGCAGGCGGUUUCUUAAGUCUGAUGUGAAAGCCCACGGCUCAACCGUGGAGGGUCAUUGGAAACUGGGGAACUUGAGUGCAGAAGAGAAAAGCGGAAUUCCACGUGUAGCGGUGAAAUGCGUAGAGAUGUGGAGGAACACCAGUGGCGAAGGCGGCUUUUUGGUCUGUAACUGACGCUGAGGCGCGAAAGCGUGGGGAGCAAACAGGAUUAGAUACCCUGGUAGUCCACGCCGUAAACGAUGAGUGCUAAGUGUUAGAGGGUUUCCGCCCUUUAGUGCUGCAGCUAACGCAUUAAGCACUCCGCCUGGGGAGUACGGUCGCAAGACUGAAACUCAAGGAAUUGACGGGGGCCCGCACAAGCGUGGAGCAUGUGUUUAUUCGAGCACGCGAGAACUUACAGUCUGACAUCUCUGACACUCUAGAGAUAGAGCGUCCCUUCGGGGACAGAGUGACAGUGUGCAUGAUGUCGUCAGCCUCGUGUCGUGAGAAUGUUGGGUUUAAGUUCGGCA